rnacentral:rRNA from 1 species
GACGUAGGGCGCGAGCGUUGUCCGGAUUUAUUGGGCGUAAAGAGCUCGUAGGCGGCUUGUCGCGUCGAAUGUGAAAACUCGGGGCUCAACUCCGAGCUUGCAUUCGAUACGGGCAGGCUAGAGUUCGGUAGGGGAGACUGGAAUUCCUGGUGUAGCGGUGAAAUGCGCAGAUAUCAGGAGGAACACCGGUGGCGAAGGCGGCACGCUGGACCUUUUCUGACGCUGAGGCGCGAAAGCCAGGGGAGCAAACGGG